rnacentral:rRNA from 1 species
GGAGAGUUUGAUCCUGGCUCAGGAUGAACGCUGGCGGCGUGCUUAAUACAUGCAAGUCGAACGGAGUAUGUAGCAAUACGUACUUAGUGGCGAACGGGUGAGUAACGCGUUGGUGACCUGCCUCGAAGAGAGGGAUAACAGUCCGAAAGGAUUGCUAAUACCUCAUGUGAUCAUAGAGUUUAGAAAUCUAUGAUUAAAGGAGUAAUUCACUUCGAGAGGGGCCUGCGUACCAUCAGCUAGUUGGUGAGGUAAUGGCCCACCAAGGCGAUGACGGUUAGGGGACCUGAGAGGGUGGCCCCCCACAAUGGAACUGAAACACGGUCCAUACACCUACGGGUGGCAGCAGUAGGGAAUAUUAGUUAAUGUGCGAAAGCGCGAACUAGCAACGCCGCGUGUGCGAUGAAGGCCUUCGGGUCGUAAAGCACUUUUCUAGGGGAUGAGGAAGGACAGUACCUUAGGAAUAAGCAUCGGCUAACUACGUGCCAGCAGCCGCGGUAAAACGUAGGAUGCGAGCGUUAUCCGGAUUUACUGGGCGUAAAGCGCGUGUAGGCGGUUCGGUAAGUUGGAUGUGAAAGCUCCCGGCUUAACUGGGAGAGGUCGUUCAAUACUGCCGAGCUAGAGGAUGGUAGAGGGAGGUGGAAUUCCGAGUGUAGUGGUGAAAUGCGUAGAUAUUCGGAGGAACACCAGUGGCGAAAGCGGCCUCCUGGACCAUUUCUGACGCUCAGACGCGAAAGCUAGGGUAGCAAACGGGAUUAGAGACCCCGGUAGUCCUAGCCGUAAACGAUGUAGACUAGGCGUUGGUUGAGUAAAAUCGAUCAGUGUCGGAGCAAACGCGAUAAGUCUACCGCCUGGGGACUACGGCCGCAAGGCUAAAACUCAAAGGAAUUGACGGGGCCCCGCACAAGCAGCGGAGCGUGUGGUUUAAUUCGUUGCUACACGAAGAACCUUACCUGGGUUUGACAUA